rnacentral:lncRNA from 1 species
UACUAAUCAUAUGGCACAUUACAUACUGUACGUUUCUUUAAAUAUAUAUAUAAACAAUGCAGGAACAAGGAUUGCCACGAAAAUAUUUUCUCAAAAUUUCCUGGAAAAAAAAAAAGAAAAAGAUAUGAGGUUCACAAAAUCAAACAAAAAUAAAUAUAUAAUGCGACUUUCGUUUCAUUGUCUUUCUCAACAUAUUUAUUUAUAUGUUUCUUUCUCAAAAAAAAAAAAUAUAUAUAUUAUAACCGUUAAAAAAUUGAUCAUUGGAUGUUUGCAUGUUUGGUCCACAAAGACAUAGUAGAGCCUUGACCACAUCUCUCCAACUGAGUCUGCUCUUACAUGAUUGCCCCCAAUGCCAAUACUACUACUAGUAAACCAUUUCCAAUACCAAAAAUUACUCUACCGGGAUCCAAAAUUGAACUUACUAUCCCC